CUCUGGGAAGGAAGUGGCAGAGUUCCUAAGGCUUCUGGGUUCUCAUGUGACCGACUAUGUAGAUGAGUGAGAAUUGGAACUGUCUUCACUUUUUAAAAGUGAUUGACGCUGAUGCCAUUUCUCUGAGUCUAGUGGGAGAUAUUAUUGUAGCCACACCAGCCCAAGGGAAGAUCAUUUUGCCACAUGUCUUGGAUAUGGUAAAAUAGAGCAAAGCAUUUGGGGAACACAGAUGACUGCUUGUCUAGUGACCCCUCAAUCAUCAAGGAAGUUUCCCAGGGGAGAAUUUUGGACGAAGCCACAUAUAAAGAGGAUCAAGGCCGAUGGAGCAGCCACCAUCCAGAACAUUGUCAGAGGCAGACAGGAAAAGAGAAUGUGGAAAGCAUAGGCCGACUUUUAAAGCUUCUACCAGUCACUUCUUUUUGUUGUUUUGGUAAAGAAGACUGGCCCUGAGCUAACAUCUGUUGCCAAUCUUCUUCUUCUUUUUUUUUUGCUUGAGGAAGAUUGUCCCUGAGCUAACAUCUGUGCCAGUCUUUCGCUACUUUGUAGGAGGGACACUGCCACAAUAUGGCUUGAUGAGCAGUGUGUGGGUCUGCGCCCAGGAUCCGAAACUGCAAACCCUGGGCUGCCAAAGUGGAGUGUGUGAACUUAACCACUACACCACAGGUCUGGCCCCUUACCAGUCACUUCUGAUCACAUUUUAUGGUCAAAAGACGACAUGGCCCCACUUCAAGUGUGUGGUCAAGUGCUGUUCUACCAAGUGGCCAGAAGGAGAGAGCUAGAAUAAUUAUGAACAAAUCUAAUGACACAAAGGGAUGAUUUACAUAAAAGUCAGGAUACUUUUGAGAAGCUAGAAGGCAAAUGCAAUUUGGGAGGGACGUAGGAGGGCUCCUGAGGUACAUUAGUGCUCUUUUUCUUGGCAUGGUUGGUGAGUUUACAGGCUUGAGUAGUCUUUAAAUUGUACAUAUAUGUUUUCCUAUAUUCCUUAUUUAUAUUUCAUAAUAAAAGAUAAAAUAAAAUAUAAAAAAGAACCCUUUAAAACAUACAGGUCAUAUAUAUGGUCAUUUAGUUAUAGAAAAUGUUUGGAAGGAUUUAAGAGACAUUGUUAACUCUCUUAGGGAGAGGAAGGAGAGAUUGGGAGAGAUGAAAUGGAAAAUUUUACAUUUCAUUUUCUGCCUUUGGGUUUAAAUUUCUUUCUUAUAGUGUACAUGAUUUGCUUUUAUAAUGAAAGAUUAAUUUUUUAGAAAAGCAUAAAAAUCAAGAAACAAAAUAAAAAAAUGUGACUGGCCUCAGUGUGAGAUGUGUGUGUGCUCCCCAACUUUAGACGAAGACCUGCGCUGGGAGAAAGGGGAGAAGGCAUCGGAAGUGUGUCUCAAAAUGGAGCAGAAGGAUUGGACAGUCCUCAAAGCGGACGGGGAGGAAGGACUAUCAAUCCUAACAUCAGAAAGAGGUGUAGACAUGAUUUGGCACCAAGUCACCCCAGAGUGUAGACCUCUGAGUGACCUGUUAUUGAGGGUCAUUGUCCAACAGCUUGGACCCUCGAAGGCUGCAGGAAACAGAGAGAGAAGGACUUGGUCAAUUUGUGUGGGGAUGUGGGUCUGAAAGGAGAGUCUCCUCUUGACCAUGGUGGAACUGAACUGGAUCAACUGGAAAUUUCCCUAGGAACUGGGAGGGUAGUGGAUAUACUACACAUGUAAUUAAAAGUUAAUGACAUAAAAGUUGCGUUGAAUCUAUCUUUGUUCUUGGUGGUUGCAUAAAUCUAUUUAUUAUGAGGAAAAUUAGAAAGAAAACC
ensembl:lncRNA